rnacentral:rRNA from 1 species
AGUAGGACGCACAGUUUAUACCGUAGCUUGCUACACCAUAGACUGUGAGUUGCGAACGGGUGAGUAACGCGUAGGUAACCUGCCUAUUAGAGGGGGAUAACUAUUGGAAACGAUAGCUAAUACCGCAUAACAGUAUGUAACACAUGUUAGAUGCUUGAAAGAUGCAAUUGCAUCGCUAGUAGAUGGACCUGCGUUGUAUUAGCUAGUAGGUAGGGUAAUGGCCUACCUAGGCGACGAUACAUAGCCGACCUGAGAGGGUGAUCGGCCACACUGGGACUGAGACACGGCCCAGACUCCUACGGGAGGCAGCAGUAGGGAAUCUUCGGCAAUGGGGGGAACCCUGACCGAGCAACGCCGCGUGAGUGAAGAAGGUUUUCGGAUCGUAAAGCUCUGUUGUUAAGGAAGAACGAGUGUGAGAAUGGAAAGUUCAUACUGUGACGGUACUUAACCAGAAAGGGACGGCUAACUACGUGCCAGCAGCCGCGGUAAUACGUAGGUCCCGAGCGUUGUCCGGAUUUAUUGGGCGUAAAGCGAGCGCAGGCGGUUAGAAAAGUCUGAAGUGAAAGGCAGUGGCUCAACCAUUGUAGGCUUUGGAAACUGUUUAACUUGAGUGCAGAAGGGGAGAGUGGAAUUCCAUGUGUAGCGGUGAAAUGCGUAGAUAUAUGGAGGAACACCGGUGGCGAAAGCGGCUCUCUGGUCUGUAACUGACGCUGAGGCUCGAAAGCGUGGGGAGCGAACAGGAUUAGAUACCCUGGUAGUCCACGCCGUAAACGAUGAGUGCUAGGUGUUGGGUCCUUUC